AGCAGCCGCGGUAAUUCCAGCUCCAAUAGCGUAUAUUAAAGUUGUUGCAGUUAAAAAGCUCGUAGUUGAAUUUCGGGAUCAAUACGUCGGUCAUGCUUUUUGGUACGAACUGGCGUCAUUGGUUUCUCCUUUCUGACGAACCAUGAUGUCAUUAAUUUGGUGUUAUGGGGAGUUGGGACUGUUACUUUGAAAAAAUUAGAGUGUUUAAAGCAGGCAUAAGCUUGAAUACAUUAGCAUGGAAUAAUGAAAUAGGACGUUUGAUCCUAUUUUGUUGGUUUCUAGGAUCAACGUAAUGAUUAAUAGGGAUAGUUGGGGGCAUUAGUAUUCAAUUGUCAGAGGUGAAAUUCUUGGAUUUAUUGAAGACUAACUACUGCGAAAGCAUUUGCCAAGGAUGUUUUCAUUAAUCAAGAACGAAAGUUAGGGGAUCGAAGACGAUCAGAUACCGUCGUAGUCUUAACCAUAAACUAUGCCGACUAGGGAUCGGAUGAUGUUAAUUUUUUAAUGACUCA
rnacentral:rRNA from 1 species